UGGCGGACGGGUGAGUAACACGUGAGCAACCUGCCUUCGAGAGGGGAAUAACGGCUGGAAACGGUCGCUAAUACCGCAUAACAUACCGGGAGGACAUCCUGCUGGUAUCAAAGAUUUUAUCGCUCGAAGAUGGGCUCGCGUCCGAUUAGGUAGUUGGUGAGGUAACGGCUCACCAAGCCGACGAUCGGUAGCCGGACUGAGAGGUUGAACGGCCACAUUGGGACUGAGACACGGCCCAGACUCCUACGGAAGGCAGCAG
rnacentral:rRNA from 1 species